rnacentral:rRNA from 1 species
GUAGGGAAUAUUGGGCAAUGGGCGCAAGCCUGACCCAGCCAUGCCGCGUGCAGGAUGAAGGCGCUCAGCGUUGUAAACUGCUUUUAUCGGUGAAGAACGGCAGUCCUGCGGGAUUGUGUGACGGUAGCCGAGGAAUAAGCACCGGCUAACUCCGUGCCAGCAGCCGCGGUAAUACGGAGGGUGCAAGCGUUGUCCGGAUUUAUUGGGUUUAAAGGGUGCGUAGGUGGUCGUCUAAGUCUGGUUUUAAAGUUGGCUGCUUAACAGUCAAAGGUGGCUGGAAACUGGACGACUUGAAUGGGAUGGCGGUAGCCGGAAUGGGUCAUGUAGCGGUGAAAUGCAUAGAUAUGACCCGGAACACCGAUUGCGAAGGCAGGCUACUACGUCCCGAUUGACACUGAGGCACGAGAGCAUGGGUAGCGAACAGGAUUAGAAACCCUAGUAGUCC